GUCAGACUGUGGGUGAUAAGAUUCAUAGUCGAAAGGGCAACAGCCCAGAUCGUCAGCUAAGGUCCCUAAAUGUAAGUUAAGUGGUAAAGGAUGUGGGAUUGCACAGACAACCAGGAUGUUGGCUUAGAAGCAGCCACUCAUUCAAAGAGUGCGUAAUAGCUCACUGGUCGAGUGAUCCUGCGCCGAAGAUUUCCGGGGCUAA
rnacentral:rRNA from 1 species